CUUAAGUGUCCUGCAUCCUGAAGAAAACAGGGCUGUUGCUCCAGUUGCACUAUGCCCCAUAUUGAAGAUGCUAUAUAGAAUACUCAUAACAAGGGAGUUUUCAGCACAGGCCAUUCUUCAAGUCUUAAGGGAUGAAACUAUGAACGACCCAAGAGAUCGCAUUGAGAUUGCACAAACCCACGUUUUCUGUAGACCGUCACUCCUAGGACAGAAACCUUGAUAAUGUAUCGCCUAUCUUUUGCAUCUUGUUUUUGUCACUUGUCAAUGGAUACAUGUAAUAAACUAAACUAUUAGGAUAAAAAGAAGAGGUUACGAGUUGGUUAUUGUGUUGUAUCAAUUCCAUUUUUGUGGAGUUUUUCUUAAUCAAGUACAAUGAACAGGCUUGAAUUUUUUUUUUUGAAAAAUAAAA
rnacentral:misc_RNA from 1 species